GCCUAACACAUGCAAGUCGAGCGAAGCACUUUGCUUAGAUUCUUCGGAUGAAGAGGAUUGUGACUGAGCGGCGGACGGGUGAGUAACGCGUGGGUAACCUGCCUCAUACAGGGGGAUAACAGUUAGAAAUGACUGCUAAUACCGCAUAAGACCACAGCACCGCAUGGUGCGGGGGUAAAAACUCCGGUGGUAUGAGAUGGACCCGCGUCUGAUUAGCUAGUUGGUAAGGUAACGGCUUACCAAGGCGACGAUCAGUAGCCGACCUGAGAGAGUGAACGGCCACAUUGGGACUGAGACACGGCCCAAACUCCUACGGGAGGCAGCAGUGGGGAAUAUUGCACAAUGGGGGAAACCCUGAUGCAGCGACGCCGCGUGAGCGAUGAAGUAUUUCGGUAUGUAAAGCUCUAUCAGCAGGGAAGAAAAUGACGGUACCUGACUAAGAAGCCCCGGCUAACUACGUGCCAGCAGCCGCGGUAAUACGUAGGGGGCAAGCGUUAUCCGGAUUUACUGGGUGUAAAGGGAGCGUAGACGGCAUGGCAAGCCAGAUGUGAAAGCCCGGGGCUCAACCCCGGGACUGCAUUUGGAACUGUCAGGCUAGAGUGUCGGAGAGGAAAGCGGAAUUCCUAGUGUAGCGGUGAAAUGCGUAGAUAUUAGGAGGAACACCAGUGGCGAAGGCGGCUUUCU
rnacentral:rRNA from 1 species